UUAUUCUUCUCUCUCGUCCAUACCCCCUCCUCCGCCUCGGAGCGGGCGAUGGAGAACACUCUUCUUGAUAUUCGUCCACCCUUAUAUCAUUCUCUCUCGUCCAACCACCCUCUUCUCCUCCGUCUCGGAAUCGGCGAUGGAGAACCCUAGGAUAUAAGCAGCAGAGAGAUCGAAGAGAACUGCACGGCCAUUCUCGACGGCGCCGGCAUGGAGGACGCCCGCAAUAUCCACGACGACCGGCUCUCGUUCUUGGAAGACGUCCGGUUCGCUUCUCUUGCGUCCGAGUUCCCUUCCUCUCCUCCUUGGAGAACGUUUCAUGCGAUCUUUCAGAUUCUCAUAGCAAAUCUCUGGAACUGGCCAUGGUCAGCUACCAGCUUCUAAAUGAGUUGGAGUUGGUAUUUCUAGUUCUUUCUUUAACGCCUUCUUUCUGAUUGCAAUGAUGCUAAACUGAUAAAUCUAAAUCAUUUCUUGUUACUUUAUAUCGCGUUACCCGAGAGUCUAUUUGACGUGUCCAGAUAAACCAGAAUCAACUUCUGGUGGAACUGGUGAGCUCAUUGUGGUUAAAGAGACAUGAUCGCCGUCAAUUCUUGGCUCAGAAGUUGCCUAUGCUGACGGGGAGGCAGCUGGUAAAUGUCUAGAUCGCUUGUUUGACUCCGUUUCCAUAAGCAUCUAACAACAUGCUUAUUGAAUAAUGAUGGCUUCAUUUUAGACAAAUAACAACUGGAGGGAUGCAACAAGAAGCAUUGGCAGCGGAAAAAUUUCCAAAUAAGCAGUUACCUUAUGAUUCCCUAGACCAGACCCAGGGUUGUUGAUCACAACUGAAUGCGGAAAAUUGCAAGUAUCUCCUGGUGAAAUGGUAGUUCUCCUGCAAGGAUUUCAUUUUGCUAUUAAGUUGCCUGAUGGCCCAUCACGUGGUUAUGUUGCUGAAGUUUUUGGCACCCAUUUUCAACUUCCUGAGCUUGGCCCGAUAGGUGCCAACGGUCUGGUUUCUCCUAGGGAUUUUCUUGUUCCCACAGCUUGGUUUGAAGAAAGUUUCCAUUCAGGGUACAUGAUUGUGCAAAAGUUUGGUGGUGAAUUGUUUACUGCAAAACAAGAUUUUUCUCCAUUUAAUGUGGUUGCUUGGCAUGGAAAUUAUCUACCAUAUGAGUGCAGUACUGACGACCCUGUCUGGUAAGCCUGGUGUUGCACUGCUUGAUUUUGUGAUCUUCCCACCUCGAUGGUUGGUUGCCGAGCAUACCUUUCACCCUCCUUAUUACCAUCGCAAUUGUAUGAGUGAAUUUAUGGAUUUAAUUUAUGGGGCUAAAGCUGAUGGAUUUCUUCCUGGAGGUGCUAGCCUACAUAGCUGCAUGACACCACAUGGACCCGAUGCAAGGACAUAUGAGGCAACGAUAGCUAGUGGUGAGGAUUUUGAGCCAUUUAGAAUAAGUGGUACAAUGGCCUUCAUGUUUGAGUCUUCCCUUAUCCCUUGAGUCUGCUCAUGGGCACCUGAGUCUCCAAAUGUCGAUGCUGAGUACUACCAGUGCUGGAUUGGACUGAGGUCGCACUUUUCAUGCAAUGUGAAACAAGCAGUAAAUGGAAGUGGCAGUCCAAGCAGCGGAGAAGUUCUGCUUGGAGAUAAUGCAGUGCAUGAUCAUGGAAGCAAUGAUUGAUGUGCUUCCCGUUACUGAAUUAUUCAAGCAGUCAUGUUGUACAUGUCCCAGCAAAAUAAUGUCCAUAGAAAAUAGAUCCGUAAUAUAAAAGAAAAUGCGCACAGUGAAGUAUCUCAUAUUGAAUUAAGCACCAGAUCUUUCUGACAACCAAGAUGUUGCAUCUAAAAUAGUUUUGAUUCAACAUCCAUGAGAUUAUCUGUUCGAACUGUUGUGCAAUACCCCCAAUUUAAGAUCUUUAUUUCCUCGCUGACUAGAAUAUGCUAUUGAUAUUAAGUUCUAUUUC